rnacentral:rRNA from 1 species
CCUACGGGUGGCAGCAGUGGGGGCUAUUGCACAAUGGGGGAAACCCUGAUGCAGCGACGCCGCGUGUAGGAAGACGGUCCUCUGGCUUGUAACCUACUUUCCCCAGGGACGAAGAUGACGGUACCUGGGGAGGCCGCUCCGGCUAACUACGUGCCAGCAGCCGCGGUAAUACGUAGGGAGCGAGCGUUGUCCGGAAUUACUGGGUGUAAAGGGAGCGUAGGCGGGGAUGCCAGUUGGGUGUUAAAUCUACCGGCUCAACUGGUAGUCGCACUCAAAACUGCAGCUCUUGAGUGAAGUAGAGGCAGGCGGAAUUCCUAGUGUAGCGGUGAAAUGCGUAGAUAUUAGGAGGAACACCAGUGGCGAAGGCGGCCUGCUGGGCGUUGACUGACGCUGAGGCUCGAAAGUGUGGGGAGCAAACAGGAUUAGAUACCCGAGUAGUC